rnacentral:rRNA from 1 species
GACGAACGCUGGCGGCGUGCGUAAUACAUGCAAGUAGAACGCUGAAGCUUGGUGCUUGCACCGAGCGGAUGAGUUGCGAACGGGUGAGUAACGCGUAGGUAACCUGCCUGGUAGCGGGGGAUAACUAUUGGAAACGAUAGCUAAUACCGCAUAAGAGUAGAUGUUGCAUGACAUUUGCUUAAAAGGUGCAAUUGCAUCACUACCAGAUGGACCUGCGUUGUAUUAGCUAGUUGGUGAGGUAACGGCUCACCAAGGCAACGAUACAUAGCCGACCUGAGAGGGUGAUCGGCCACACUGGGACUGAGACACGGCCCAGACUCCUACGGGAGGCAGCAGUAGGGAAUCUUCGGCAAUGGACGGAAGUCUGACCGAGCAACGCCGCGUGAGUGAAGAAGGUUUUCGGAUCGUAAAGCUCUGUUGUAAGAGAAGAACGAGUGUGAGAGUGGAAAGUUCACACUGUGACGGUAUCUUACCAGAAAGGGACGGCUAACUACGUGCCAGCAGCCGCGGUAAUACGUAGGUCCCGAGCGUUGUCCGGAUUUAUUGGGCGUAAAGCGAGCGCAGGCGGUUAGAUAAGUCUGAAGUUAAAGGCUGUGGCUUAACCAUAGUACGCUUUGGAAACUGUUUAACUUGAGUGCAAGAGGGGAGAGUGGAAUUCCAUGUGUAGCGGUGAAAUGCGUAGAUAUAUGGAGGAACACCGGUGGCGAAAGCGGCUCUCUGGCUUGUAACUGACGCUGAGGCUCGAAAGCGUGGGGAGCAAACAGG